rnacentral:tRNA from 1 species
UCCCAUGUGGCUCAGUUGGUAGAGCAUGGUGUUUGCAACGCCAGGGUUGUGGGUUCGAGUCCCACGGGGGAC